UGGGUUCUUUCCAGCUUCUGGGUAUUAUA
rnacentral:piRNA from 1 species